AACGAACGCUGGCGACAUGCCUAACACAUGCAAGUCGAACGAGAUCUUCGGGUCUAGUGGCGCACGGGUGCGUAACGCGUGGGAAUCUGCCCUUUGGUUCGGAAUAACGGUUGGAAACGACUGCUGAUACCGGAUGAUGACGAAAGUCCAAAGAUUUAUCGCCAGAGGAUGAGCCCGCGUAGGAUUAGCUAGUUGGUGUGGUAAAGGCGCACCAAGGCGACGAUCCUUAGCUGGUCUGAGAGGAUGAUCAGCCACACUGGGACUGAGACACGCCCCAGACUCCUACGGGGGGCAGCAGUGGGGAAUAUUGGACAAUGGGCGAAAGCCUGAUCCAGCAAUGCCGCGUGAGUGAUGAAGGCCUUAGGGUUGUAAAGCUCUUUUACCCGGGAUGAUAAUGACAGUACCGGGAGAAUAAGCUCCGGCUAACUCCGUGCCAGCCGCCGCCGUAA
rnacentral:rRNA from 1 species